AGUUUGAUCCUGGCUCAGAUUGAACGCUGGCGGCAGGCUUAACACAUGCAAGUCGAGCGGGGAAAGGUAGCUUGCUACCUUACCUAGCGGCGGACGGGUGAGUAAUGCUUAGGAAUCUGCCUAUUAGUGGGGACAACAUUUCGAAAGGAAUGCUAAUACCGCAUACGCCCUACGGGGGAAAGCAGGGGACCUUCGGGCCUUGCGCUAAUAGAUGAGCCUAAGUCGGAUUAGCUAGUUGGUGGGGUAAAGGCCUACCAAGGCGACGAUCUGUAGCGGGUCUGAGAGGAUGAUCCGCCACACUGGGACUGAGACACGGCCCAGACUCCUACGGGAGGCAGCAGUGGGGAAUAUUGGACAAUGGGGGGAACCCUGAUCCAGCCAUGCCGCGUGUGUGAAGAAGGCCUUUUGGUUGUAAAGCACUUUAAGCGAGGAGGAGGCUACUUAGAUUAAUACUCUAGGAUAGUGGACGUUACUCGCAGAAUAAGCACCGGCUAACUCUGUGCCAGCAGCCGCGGCAAUACAGAGGGUGCAAGCGUUAAUCGGAUUUACUGGGCGUAAAGCGUGCGUAGGUGGCCAAUUAAGUCAAAUGUGAAAUCCCCGAGCUUAACUUGGGAAUUGCAUUCGAUACUGGUUGGCUAGAGUAUGGGAGAGGAUGGUAGAAUUCCAGGUGUAGCGGUGAAAUGCGUAGAGAUCUGGAGGAAUACCGAUGGCGAAAGCAGCCAUCUGGCCUAAUACUGACACUGAGGUACGAAAGCACGGGGAGCAAACAGGAUUAGAUACCCUGGUAGUCCAUGCCGUAAACGAUGUCUACUAGCCGUUGGGGCCUUUGAGGCUUUAGUGGCGCAGCUAACGCGAUAAGUAGACCGCCUGGGGAGUACGGUCGCAGACUAAACUC
rnacentral:rRNA from 1 species